rnacentral:snRNA from 1 species
GGAUGAGGGUGAUCUCACUGUGGUAUCUAUCACCCCAUUGAUCACCCAGGAUAAUUUAGCUGAUCUGGCUGGCUAGGCAACUGCUCCAUUUGACCCUCUUUGCUCUUUGUGUCCUUUCUGAGGCCAGGCUCUCUCUAGAGCAGGAUGACUUUCUCAAUGUGUUCCCCUACUAGUCCCUGGAAACAAACUCUAAGAAAUACCCUUCAAGUGAUACUUGGAAUUAAAUAUAUAAAUCGUAGCUUUCUCUUUUCCACUGUGGAAGAUCAGUUUUGUG